AAAACCUUUAAUCCAGUCCCGUGAGGCUGGCAAGGGAUACAACCGAACACAGGUGACCUCUAACCUCUUGCCCGCCGGAAGCAAGAGGUUUUUUUAU
rfam:Chloroflexi bacterium RBG_13_57_8 RBG_13_scaffold_8111, whole genome shotgun sequence.